rnacentral:rRNA from 1 species
UAUCUCUGUAGAGUCUGCAUAUCAAUAAGCGGAGGAAAAGAAACUAACAAGGAUUCCCUUAGUAACGGCGAGUGAAGCGGGAAGAGCUCAAAUUUGAAAUCUUCAAGGUUCUACCUUGACGAAUUGUAGUUUAAAGAAGUGUUUUCUGUUAGAAGUGAGUAGCAAAAGUUCCUUUGGAAUAGGGACAUCAUAGAGGGUGAGAAUCCCGUAUUUGGUUAUUCAUUCUAGCUGUGUGAUACACUUUCAAAGAGUCGGAUUGUUUGGGAAUGCAGUCCAAAAUGGGUGGUAAACUUCAUCUAAAGCUAAAUAUUGGCGAGAGACCGAUAGCGAACAAGUACCGUGAGGGAAAGAUGAAAAGAACUUUGAAAAGAGAGUUAAACAGUACGUGAAAUUGUCAAAAGGGAAGCGUUUGACACCAGUGUUGUUUUUCCGAAAAUCAAUUACGAAUGGCUUGAUUUUGUGUUGUAUUGACCUUAUCAGCUUUCUUCACUUUUUUCGAGUCUUUCUUAAUGCACUUUUCGGUUAACAAGUCAACAUCAAUUUCUUUUGUUGUAAAAGAGUAUUCGGAAGGUGGCUUUCUUUUCGGAGAAAGUGUUUAUAGCCCUAUACUUCUACAAUCGGAGAGAUUGAGGUCUGCAGCGUAGAUCCUUCGGGGUUAGAUACACUUGUGCUAAGUUGUAGCUUUUCAUAGACAACUUGUUGACUAUGUUUAGUCAUGCGGCUUACUCGCUUAUGCUAUUUUACCUACGCUUAGGAUGUUGACUGAUAUGUAGUCGU